AGCAGAAAAACCCUAGUUUAAUGACAUUCCAUCUCUUUGAUUUUUUUCUUCUUCCUCUUCAUUUCCCACCAAACAAUCUUCUCUAACUUAAAUAUCGGAUGGCCAACCCGGUGCCAGUGAUCUUUCGAGCUCUUUGAUCUUAUUUGUUGUCUUGCAGAUCCAUGGAAGCAACCUAUGUCAAAGGUCCAAAAUCGGCAGCAACAUCUAUAAACAUGAGGUAUGUAAGUAGUAAUGUACUAAAUUCUGAAAAACCAGAUGGAUCUCUGGCUUAACAUAGGUGAUUUCUUUCCAGUAACGUACUCUAUUGAAUGUAGUUAAGAUUUCAUGAUGACUUCUUAUCAUCUACCUGACUGGUGCCAUGGAGUAUAAUCAUGAUAUGAGGUGUAGGAUUUCUUCUUUCCAAUUUCAUGGGCAUAUUCAAUUGGAAGAACGCUCUGGUGAUCAGUUGGAGUAUGCUAGACUUGGUGAGAUCUUGAAGCAUAUAUAUCCACUGAGUUUCUUAUAUUUUGGGGUAAGCUGUAGACCGGGGCUACAUUUAUCUAGAAAUUAUCAAUUACAAAUACCUUCCGAAAGCCAAGGUUUACAUCAAGCUUGGUUCCAAAGGCAGUGAUUUGCUACCGAUAAUCUUACCAAAUGGUCUUGGCAGGUUCCAACAUCUUGUGUCCCUCAUCAGAUAUUGCUUCAGGACUCGGAUUCUCGGCUUUUGCUGGGAUGCCCC
rnacentral:lncRNA from 1 species